GACAAAAAAACUACCUUUGUAGAAUACAUUUAUCGCUUCGUUGUUUUAAAGCAAAAACCAGAUUCUCUCUUCUCUUAUGAGAACAAGGAAACAAUGGCGCUAACUCCCUCUCCUUCUUCUUCUUAUCCAAAUCUUCUCCAAUUCUCUGUUAAAUCUCCAUCUCCGUCCGUACAUUAUCUUCUCUUCGGUUCUCCAUGGUCAAACGCUUCUCCGUUUCUGCUUCAAAAGAGCGGAGUUCCUCUGCUUCCGGUCGUAGUGAAACCGUCUUGUAAGAAGAUCAAGUGCUUCGCUAGAUCCUCAACGGAGGAGGACUGCUUGAGCGAGCCGGAAACAUUGACCGCUGAGAAUGUUGGUGAAGAUGAUGAUGGUUUAGGGAGGGAAGAUCCGAACUUGCAGGAAAGCCAAAGUUCUGUGGUUGCGACGCAGAGGAUCACUUCCUCUUCCAGUGAUUCUCUCUUGCUUGGAAUUCGUGAGCCUGUCUAUGAGGUGGUAGAGGUGAAGUCAAAUGGAGUAGUAUCUACAAGGAAGAUAAGCCGACGUCAAUUAUUGAAAUCAAGUGGUCUUCGUCCUAGAGAUAUCCGGAGUGUUGAUCCAUCAUUGUUUUUGACUAACUCAGCACCAUCUCUUCUGGUACGUGAGCAUGCCAUUCUACUUAAUCUGGGAUCAUUACGAGCAAUAGCAAUGAAAGACUGUGUUCUUAUAUUUGACUAUAAUCGUAAAGGAGGAAAGGCUUUUGUGGACACAUUGUUGCCUCGACUGAAUAACAUGAAUGGAGGUCAUUGUAUGCCAUUCGAGCUUGAGGUUGUUGAAGCAGCAUUGCUUUCACGAACACAGCGGUUGGAGCAGAGACUUAUGGAUUUAGAACCUCGUGUUCAAGCUCUGCUUGAGGUGUUGCCUAACAAAUUAACCGGUGACAUAUUGGAGCAACUUCGUAUUAGCAAGCAGACGUUGGUUGAAUUGGGUUCAAGAGCAGGGGCUCUUAGACAAAUGCUGCUUGAUCUUUUGGAGGAUCCUCAUGAAAUACGUCUUAUAUGUAUUAUGGGAAGAAACUGUACUCUUAAAAGGGGAAAUGAUGACGUUGAAUGUUCUGUACCCUUAGAAAAGCUGAUUGCUGAAGAAGAGGAGGAAGAAAUUGAGAUGCUUUUGGAAAAUUAUCUUCAAAGAUGUGAAUCUUGCUAUGGUCAGGCAGAAAGGCUUCUUGACUCUGCAAAAGAAAUGGAAGAUUCUAUUGCUGUCAAUUUGAGCUCUCGGAGACUCGAGGUAAGCAGAGUGGAACUGCUUCUUCAGGUUGGGACAUUUUGUAUGGCAGUUGGUGCUCUAGUUGCAGGUAUAUUUGGCAUGAACUUGAAGUCCUAUCUGGAAGAACAUGUGUUUGCUUUCUGGCUAACCACAGCAGGGAUUAUUGUUGGUGCUGUUGUGGCAUUUUUUCUCAUGUACUCGUACCUCAGGACUAGAAAAAUUCUGUAAUUUAGGAGUUCAGGUGAAACUGACGGCAAACAAUUCUCGUCGCCAAACCUGUAAUGGCUGCCAUAUCCUGGGUUCAAAUACGUCCUCUUUUCUCCCACUCUUUCUAUUACUACUAUUUAUGGCGGUAUUCUUCCAUACUCGACUUGGGUUACUUCUACUCCACUUUCCACCAACGAUAAAAGUCACUUCAGUCUGUCGUUGAUGCAUUUCCUUGCCUUUUCAUUGUUAAGUCUCGAGCAUUGUUUGCUCCCAGCCUGUAUUCAAUUGGAAGUGGCAUAUAUGACACCUACUUUAUGAUUGAUCAUUAUGAAUAUUCCAAGGAUAGAAUUGCAAAUUGCAGCACUCAUUUCGUUGGCAUGAAACUA